rnacentral:rRNA from 1 species
UUGGUUGUCCAUGUUCAAGCGAGUAGGAAGGGGUCUUAGGCAAAUCCGGGGCCCUAUAUUCUGAGACGUGAUGACGAGCUGACAUUUAUGUUGGCGAAGUUGUUGAUGCCAGACUUCCAGGAAAAGCUUCUAAGCUUCAGGUAAAAGACGACCGUACUGUAAACCGACACAGGUGAUCUGGUAGAGAAUACCAAGGCGCUUGAGAGAACUUGGGUGAAGGAACUAGGCAAAAUGGUACCGUAACUUCGGGAGAAGGUACGCUCCUCGACGUGAAGUAUUUACUACGUAAGCGUUGGGGAGUCGAAGAAACCAGGUAGCUGCAACUGUUUAUUAAAAACACAGCACUCUGCAAACACGUAAGUGGACGUAUAGGGUGUGACGCCUGCCCGGUGCCGGAAGGUUAAUUGAUGGGGUCAGCGCAAGCGAAGCUCUUGAUCGAAGCCCCGGUAAACGGCGGCCGUAACAAUAACGGUCCUAAGGUAGCGAAAUUCCUUGUCGGGUAAGUUCCGACCUGCACGAAUGGCGUAAUGAUGGCUACACUGUCUCCACCCAAGACUCAGUGAAAUUGAAAUCGCUGUUAAGAUGCAGUGUACCCGCGGCUAGACGGAAAGACCCCGUGAACCUUUACUAUAGCUUCACAUUGGACUUUGAUAUUACUUGUGUAGGAUAGCUGGGAGGCUUUGAAGCAUGAUCGCCAGAUUGUGUGGAGCCGUCCUUGAAAUACCAGCCUGGUGAUGUCGGGGUUCUAACUCUGACCCGUAAUCCGGGUUGAGGACAAUGUGUGGUGGGUAGUUUGACUGGGGCGGUCUCCUCCCAAAGAGUAACGGAGGAGCACGAAGGUACGCUAAUGACGGUCGGAAAUCGUCAGGUUUGUGCAUAGGCAUAAGCGUGCUUGACUGCGAGAGUGACAACUCGAGCAGGUGCGAAAGCAGGUCUAAGUGAUCCGGUGGUUCUGAAUGGAAGGGCCAUCGCUCAACGGAUAAAAGGUACUCCGGGGAUAACAGGCUGAUACCGCCCAAGAGUUCACAUCGACGGCGGUGUUUGGCACCUCGAUGUCGGCUCAUCACAUCCUGGGGCUGAAGCCGGUCCCAAGGGUAUGGCUGUUCGCCAUUUAAAGUGGUACGCGAGCUGGGUUUAGAACGUCGUGAGACAGUUCGGUCCCUAUCUGCCGUGGGCGUUGGAGAUUUGAGAAGAGUUGUUCCUAGUACGAGAGGACCGGAAUGAACGAACCUCUGGUGUUCGGGUUGUCACGCCAGUGGCAUUGCCCGGUAGCUAUGUUCGGACGGGAUAACCGCUGAAAGCAUCUAAGCGGGAAGCCCCCUUCGAGACUAGAUCUCCCUGGGACUUUAAGUCCCCUAAAGAGCCGUUGGAGACUACGACGUUGAUAGGCUGGGUGUGUAAGUGGAGUGAUCCAUUGAGCUAACCAGUACUAAUUGCUCGUGUGGCUUGACAU